AUGAUGGCCUGGCGGAGCAACAACAAGUCGCGGCAGUCCGGCUCUGGCCUGGCGGACCUCGCCACCCGCCUCACCAAGUGCCUGGCCGAUGCAAACCCUAGCACCAAGCUCGUCUUCUCGCCGCUGUCCAUCUACGUCGCCGUCGCGCUCCUGGCGCCCGGCGCCCGGGCAGGCACCCUGGACGAGGUCCUGCGCCUCCUCGGGGCGCUCUCCCGCGAGGAGCUGGAGGUGUCCAUCUCGCGCAUGGCCGACGACGCGCUCCAGGACCGGUCGAGAUCCGGCGGGACGAGCGUCGCGUCCGCGUGCGGGGUGUGGAACGACAAAAGGCGUCCGCUGAAGCCGGCUUACCGCGAGGCCGUCAUCGGCACGUACAGAGCACAGGCGGAGACCUUGGAUAUCAGGGAGAACGCGGUGGCGGCGGCGCAACACAUCAACGCCUGGGUCGCCGAGGUCACCAGGAACCUCAUCAAGGACGUCGUCUCUGCAGAAACCAUUGACUCGGCCGACGUCGUGCUCACCAACACCAUAUACUUCAAAGGCAGGUGGAACCUGCCAUUCGACUAG
rnacentral:rRNA from 1 species